rnacentral:rRNA from 1 species
AGUGAACGCUGGCGGUAGGCCUAACACAUGCCAGUCGAACGGCAGCACAGUAAGAGCUUGCUCUUACGGGUGGCGAGUGGCGGACGGGUGAGGAAUACAUCGGAAUCUACUUUUUCGUGGGGGAUAACGUAGGGAAACUUACGCUAAUACCGCAUACGACCUACGGGUGAAAGCAGGGGAUCUUCGGACCUUGCGCGAUUGAAUGAGCCGAUGUCGGAUUAGCUAGUUGGCGGGGUAAGGGCCCACCAAGGCGACGAUCCGUAGCUGGUCUGAGAGGAUGAUCAGCCACACUGGAACUGAGACACGGUCCAGACUCCUACGGGAGGCAGCAGUGGGGAAUAUUGGACAAUGGGCGCAAGCCUGAUCCAGCCAUACCGCGUGGGUGAAGAAGGCCUUCGGGUUGUAAAGCCCUUUUGUUGGGAAAGAAAAGCAGCAGGUUAAUACCCCGCUGUUCUGACGGUACCCAAAGAAUAAGCGCCGGCUAACUUCGUG